rnacentral:rRNA from 1 species
UACGGAGGAUGCGAGCGUUAUCCGGAUUUAUUGGGUUUAAAGGGUGCGUAGGCGGGCUUUUAAGUCAGCGGUAAAAAUUCGGGGCUCAACCCCGUCCGGCCGUUGAAACUGGGGGCCUUGAGUGGGCGAGAAGAAGGCGGAAUGCGUGGUGUAACGGUGAAAUGCAUAGAUAUCACGCAGAACCCCGAUUGCGAAGGCAGCCUUCCGGCGCCCUACUGACGCUGAGGCACGAAAGUGCGGGGAUCGAACAGG